rnacentral:misc_RNA from 1 species
GCUUGCUGGGCGGUAUUGUGC